UGCGUGUGUGUGUGUCUGUGUACAUGAGUACAGUGUCCAGGGAUAUCAAAAAAGAGUGUUGGAUCCCUCGGAGCUGAAGUUACAGGUGACUAUACUCACCCUUGACCACUGUCUUAAUCACUCUCUCUGAAUAAGCUGCAUUUCCUUAAGGGAAUUAUAUGUCAGCCUUCCCUUCCCAGACUGCCCAGGUGUUUUCUCUUACUCUCCAUCACUGUACUUAGCAGAUAGGCAUAAAACCAAAGGAGCAGUAAGUGGACCCAGGAGCACUCACACUGGCAAUGUGUGACAGUGCCUCUGUUCGUCAACUCGUUUUCUCUGUGAGCUCCAAAAGGGCCAGCCAUCAGGCAAUUGGAGUGAGACAGGAAAAAUCUCAUAGCAGGAAAAGAGGGUGUGUGAGCCGGGGGAAGACCAUGGUCAUCAGGAUCAUCAGCUCUGCAGGACUCUGAGACACCAUUCCUGGCUCCCAAGGCCUAGCACUGCCUCCAACCAGCUGGUGACAUGCCAAGAUGGAGAUGCGCCCAAUGGCAUGAGGAACUCAGUCAGGACCAACCUUGACCCCUGCUCCGGAUAUGGCAAACUGAUGUGCAGACACAUGUUUUCACGUGGAGCACGUGUGUCCAUUUGGAGGCCAGAAGUCAACCUCAGGUAUCAUUUCUUAGAUGCCACCUGCCUUGUGUUUUGAGACAGGGUCUCUCACUGACCUAAAAUUCAAAGACUAGGCUGGUCUGCCUUGCUAGUGAUCCCCAGGGAUCCCCUCUCCCCUGCCCAGCCUCUAUUUCCCCAGUGCAGGGAUUGCAGAAAUGCACCAUUGUGCUCUGCUUUCUUACCUGGGUUUUGAGUAUUGAACACAGAUCCUUGAUAUUGCCAGACAAACACUUUAGCAGCUGAGCCUCUCCUCAGCCCUUAUAAAUGUCUUUGAAAGUUUACUAGCUUAUGAAACCCACCUGUCUAGAAAUAGCCUAGGUCAACAGGGACCCCCCCCCCAAGUUUUGGAAUAUAGGCGUAACUUUCUCAGGUCACACAGACCAGAAUUCAGGCACCCACAUUCUGACUCAGAAGCCGGAAUGGUGACAAAAGCCAGGCUAGCAGUUCAGUUUCAUUGUCACUCCUGAGUUCAGUGUACUCACGUCCGCCCUCUGUCCUAGCUCCACUCUCCAAAGCCCUCCCUCAUCACCUCAUUGUGCACGUGAAUUUUCAAAUCCAUCCUCACUCUCUGACGUAGCAUGAGCUCUAGUCCGUAUUGUCCGUGUCUCCUAACCUCAAUGGGCUUCCAUAUAUGCAAAAC
rnacentral:lncRNA from 1 species